CGCACGCUCCUUAGAUCCGUCUCUAUCAUUCAUGGGAGACGCUUGAGUCAUUGGUGUGCUAGAAUAUGUAAUAUCUUCUUGUUGGUCAUACGCCUCGACGCUCGAAAAUGUAGAAUUCGAAUGUGCUACUUUUCCUUUACACGCCGAGUAUACCAAUGAGAGGACAAU